rnacentral:rRNA from 1 species
AUGGGGAUGAUCACCAUGCACCGUGGCUACCACGUCGAGACCGUGCCCUACACCAACCGCGCCCACCUCGUCCCCCGCUCCGGCCGGGCCGCAUGCGAGCGCCAUGCCACCGACUCCUACUUCGCCGCUUUCAAGCAGUACGCAUCCUGGAUACUCGAGGAGAGCGACGACCGCAACGUCCGCGUCAACCGCAUCGUCAUGGAGCUUGCCGGCGGCGUCCACCGUAGCCUGGCCAACAAGGCUCUCGACCGUGUGGCUGUGGGUGAGCUCAAUUGGGAGGCGGUUGUUCUAAGGCACGACAGCGUCAAUGCUUAUGUGCUCUACACCGGCAAAAUCGUAGUUUUCACCAGGCUGCUCCGCCGUCUCCAUACCGACGCCGAGAUCGCCGCUGUUCUUGGGCACGAGGAGAUAGAAGCAGAUUAUAUCGGAAUGAUGCUACUCGCCGCUGCUAGUUACGAUCCACAUGAAGCCCCUCGAGCCCUUGAGAAGGUCGGAAAGAUGGAAAGAAAAUCAACAUUGGAGAAACUGCUCUCUUCCCUCUCUUAUCCAUCCUGCAAGAAAAGGUCGCGGCUGCUAUCGCAACCUAGGUACUGUACAUGGGAGAUAGCCGACGCCGAGAAGCAGCAGCAGCAGAUGGCGGUGGAGGCCCAGGAGAUGAGCCGGUGGGACGCGAUCUCCUUCUCCAUCGGUGACCACCAUGGCGACCACGACGACCUCAAGCUCGAAGUGUUCACGCUCUUCCUUGGCCUCGUCCCCAUGCUGGCCAGCGCCUCGUCAUCUGCCUCCUCAUCAUUAUGCUUGCGGAGCCGAGGCUGA